UUGAACGCUGGCGGCAUGCUUUACACAUGCAAGUCGAACGGCAGCACGGGGGCAACCCUGGUGGCGAGUGGCGAACGGGUGAGUAAUAUAUCGGAACAUGUCCGGAAGUGGGGGAUAACGUAGCGAAAGUUACGCUAAUACCGCAUAUGCCCUGAGGGGGAAAGGAGGGGAUCGCAAGACCUUUCGCUUUCGGAGUGGCCGAUAUCAGAUUAGCUAGUUGGUGAGGUAAAGGCUCACCAAGGCGACGAUCUGUAGCUGGUCUGAGAGGACGACCAGCCACACUGGAACUGAGACACGGUCCAGACUCCUACGGGAGGCAGCAGUGGGGAAUUUUGGACAAUGGGCGCAAGCCUGAUCCAGCCAUGCCGCGUGAGUGAAGAAGGCCUUCGGGCUGUAAAGCUCUUUCGGCAGGAACGAAACGGUGAGCUCUAACAUAGCUUGCUAAUGACGGUACCUGAAGAAGAAGCACCGGCUAACUACGU
rnacentral:rRNA from 1 species